GUGGGGAAUAUUGCACAAUGGGCGCAAGCCUGAUGCAGCAACGCCGCGUGAGGGACGACGGCCUUCGGGUUGUAAACCUCUUUUAGCAGGGAAGAAGCGAAAGUGACGGUACCUGCAGAAAAAGCACCGGCUAACUACGUGCCAGCAGCCGCGGUAAUACGUAGGGUGCAAGCGUUGUCCGGAAUUAUUGGGCGUAAAGAGCUCGUAGGCGGUUUGUCGCGUCUGCUGUGAAAACCCGAGGCUCAACCUCGGGCCUGCAGUGGGUACGGGCAGACUAGAGUGCGGGAGGGGAGAUUGGAAGUCCUGGUGUAGCGGUGGAAUGCGCAGAUAUCAGGAGGAACACCGAUGGCGAAGGCAGAUCUCUGGGCCGUAACUGACGCUGAGGAGCGAAAGCGUGGGGAGCGAACAGGAUUAGAUACCCCAGUAGUCC
rnacentral:rRNA from 1 species